UAAAGGGUCCGUAGGCGGUUUAAUAAGUCAGUGGUGAAAUCUGGUCGCUCAACGAUCAAACGGCCAUUGAUACUGUUAGACUUGAAUUAUAAGGAAGUAACUAGAAUAUGUAGUGUAGCGGUGAAAUGCUUAGAUAUUACAUGGAAUACCAAUUGCGAAGGCAGGUUACUACUUAUGGAUUGACGCUGAUGGACGAAAGCGUGGGGAGCGAACAGGAUUAGAUACCCUUG
rnacentral:rRNA from 1 species